rnacentral:rRNA from 1 species
GAUGAACGCUGGCGGCGUGCCUAACACAUGCAAGUCGAACGGAAAGGCCCUGAUUUUGCGGGGCGGUCGAGUGGCGAACGGGUGAGUAACACGUGAGUAACCUGCCCUUGACUUUGGGAUAACUUCAGGAAACUGGGGCUAAUACCGGAUAGGAGCUCCUGCUGCAUGGUGGGGGUUGGAAAGUUUCGGCGGUUGGGGAUGGACUCGCGGCUUAUCAGCUUGUUGGUGGGGUAGUGGCUUACCAAGGCUUUGACGGGUAGGCGGCCUGGGAGGGUGACCGGCCACAUUGGGACUGAGAUACGGCCCAGACUCCUACGGGAGGCAGCAGUGGAGAAUAUUACACAAUGGGCGGAAGCCUGAUGCAGCGACGCCACGUGCGGGAUGACGGGCUUCGGGUUGUGAACCACUGUCGCCUGUGACGAGGCGUGAGUGACGGUAAUGUAUAAAGAAGCACCGGCUAACUACGUG